rnacentral:misc_RNA from 1 species
AGCCACGGUCACGUAAGGGCACUGCCAGAGUACAGAAUAGAAAUAGAAACCACAAAAAGUUGAAGAAGAUCACAAGAAAGAAACCACUAAAGAGACGGCAAUUGAGAAGGAAAGCAAGAUCUGAAAAUGACGAGGAGUUCAUAGACGUCGAUCCAACCAUGAAAGAAAAGAACAAAAAGAAUGCAGGUCAGAGGAGAAAAAGAAAGAGACUAACAGUAGAUUCUGAUUCUGAUUUUGUUGCGAGUUCUGGAUCAUCUGAACGUGAGUUUACCAUCUCUGAAGAAGAGAGGGAACAAGUCAGAGAGGCUAACAAUUUUUGCAGGAGCUUGGUUACAACUUGGAGGGGCUCAGCAUCUUUGAAAAAAUCACCAAUAGAGGAAGCUCCACGUCUACAAAGAAAACAUCCAGCAAGAAAGGCUAAAGAAAAGAUGGAGGAGUUAAAGAUUGAAGCCGGAAAGCAAAUUUGUGGCAUAUGUUUGUCUGAAGAAGGUAAGAGAACAGUUAGAGGGACAUUGAAUUGCUGCAGUCAUUACUUUUGUUUUGCUUGUAUCAUGGAGUGGUCCAAAGUGGAAUCUCGUUGCCCACUAUGCAAGCAAAGGUUUGUGACAAUCAGUAAGCCUGCGAGGUCAGACACUGGCUUUGAUUUGAGGACUGUGGCUAUUCAAGUCCCUGAACGUGAUCAGGUUUAUCAACCAUCUGAAGAGGAGCUUAGGGGUUACCUUGACCCGUACGAAAAUGUAUUAUGUACAGAGUGUCAGCAAGGUGGGGAUGAUGCUCUUAUGCUACUUUGUGAUCUCUGUGAUUCGCCUGCGCAUACUUAUUGUGUUGGUCUUGGACAUGAAGUACCUGAAGGUAACUGGUACUGUGAAAGCUGUCGACCAACUGCACUUGCUUCUUUAAACCCACAGAAUCUGAAUCCUAUGCCUGAUAAUCGAACAAGCGGCAGUUUUUCUGUUGGGUCACCUCCUGUUGCGAAUGUGAGAGAAACGUUUGAUCUUAAUGAAAUGUAUGUUCCUGAUACCCCUUUGACCGAAGAAUCAGGUGAUUUUCAUUCUCCGCGAGAUGGUCAAGUUUCUUCUCUAGCUUCUGGGAUUGGGGCAUUUACAGUUUCUGACCGCCGCAGAAUACAACGGCAAAUACAUCAACUCCUUAAUAACAGGAGGAGACAACUUGGUAAUAUUGCUGGGACCUCGGGUGCUGUAUCAGGGAAUAGUCUCUUUGGCUCUCAAAUUGCUCGAAGUAGAGGAUUAGCAAAUCAACCUGCUAUAGCACCUAGGGCAGUACCUCAUAAUUCAUUUUUCCGAGGAAGGCAACUGGAGAGUGAUGCUCAUUUAUCUCAAAAUCCGAACCUUGUACCCGAGAGGGCAAGUCAUUUGAGUGGGCAACUGAAUUUGAAUGGAGCCUCUACAUCAUCACAAAGUUUUUUUGGUGAAUUUUUGGAAA